rnacentral:rRNA from 1 species
UGAACGCUGGCGGCAGGCUUAACACAUGCAAGUCGAGCGGAAACGAUCCUAGCUUGCUAGGAGGCGUCGAGCGGCGGACGGGUGAGUAAUAUAUGGGAACUUGCCUGGUAGUGGGGGAUAGCCCGGGGAAACUCGGAUUAAUACCGCAUACGUCCUACGGGAGAAAGCAGGGGCUCUUCGGACCUUGCGCUAUCAGAUAGGCCCAUAUCGGAUUAGCUAGUUGGUGAGGUAAAGGCUCACCAAGGCUACGAUCCGUAACUGGUCUGAGAGGAUGAUCAGUCACACUGGAACUGAGACACGGUCCAGACUCCUACGGGAGGCAGCAGUGGGGAAUAUUGGACAAUGGGGGCAACCCUGAUCCAGCCAUGCCGCGUGUGCGAUGAAGGCCUUCGGGUUGUAAAGCACUUUCAGCAGGGAGGAAAGGCAUCUUGCUAAUAUCAAGGUGAGUUGACGUUACCUGCAGAAGAAGCACCGGCAAACUCCGUGCCAGCAGCCGCGGUAAUACGGAGGGUGCGAGCGUUAAUCGGAAUUACUGGGCGUAAAGCGCGCGUAGGCGGUUGCUUAAGCGAGAUGUGAAAUCCCCGGGCUUAACCUGGGAAUGGCAUUUCGAACUGGGCGACUUGAGUUUUGGGAGAGGAGAGUGGAAUUCCCGGUGUAGCGGUGAAAUGCGUAGAGAUCGGGAGGAACAUCAGUGGCGAAAGGCGGCUCUCUGGGCCAGAAACUGACGCUGAGGUGCGAAAGCGUGGGGGAGCAAACAGGAUUAGAUACCCUGGUAGUCCACGCUGUAAACGAUGAGCACUAGCUGUUGGAACCCUUAGAGGUUUUAGUGGGCGUAGCUAACGCGCUAAGUGCUCCGCCUGGGGGAGUACGGCCGCAAGGUUAAAACUCAAAUGAAUUGACGGGGGCCCGCACAAGCGGUGGAGCAUGUGGUUUAAUUCGACGCAACGCGAAGAACCUUACCUGGUCUUGACAUCCAGAGAACUUUCCAGAGAUGGAUUGGUGCCUUCGGGAACUCUGAGACAGGUGCUGCAUGGCUGUCGUCAGCUCGUGUUGUGAAAUGUUGGGUUAAGUCCCGUAACGAGCGCAACCCUUAUCCCUAUUUGCCAGCACUUCGGGUGGGAACUUUGGGGAGACUGCCGGUGACAAACCGGAGGAAGGUGGGGACGACGUCAAGUCAUCAUGGCCCUUACGACCAGGGCUACACACGUGCUACAAUGGGACAUACAGAGGGUUGCCAAUCCGCGAGGUGGAGCUAAUCCCAGAAAGUGUCUCGUAGUCCGGAUUGGAGUCUGCAACUCGACUCCAUGAAGUCGGAAUCGCUAGUAAUCGCGAAUCAGAAUGUCGCGGUGAAUACGUUCCCGGGCCUUGUACACACCGCCCGUCACACCAUGGGAGUGGGUUGCACCAGAAGUAGCUAGUCUAACCUUCGGGAGGACGGUUACCACGGUGUGAUUCAUGACUGGGGUGA